AGAGGAAAUAGCUUUACAGCUUUUGGAACAGAAGUGACAGUACAGAAGAACAAAGCAGCCAUCCUUUUUCUUAUAAAACAGCCACAGUUGAUAUAAUCUAAGAUACUCCUGUCCACUGUCUCCAGACUUGAAUUUUGAAGUUGAAGGGUUCAGAACUUACUUCUCCUAGUAUUUUAUCUCACCCUUGGGCGCUUACUUUAAAGGACAAUGUGCAAGGCUUAACUUUUCAAGUACAGGAAGUAUUUGACCUGCUGUAACUAUGUGUGAUUCAAGGUCUUCAUCCUGCCCCCAGUGAAGUCAGACAAAAGGAGCAGUGAACCAAUGGAAAGCACAACAUGGACUCAGGAAACCAGGAAGAAAUGAAAACUUAUGCAGAAUGAGAAACAACAGACUGAAGAAAGAGGAUGGAUGGUGGUCUAGAGCAUGGCUGAGAAAAGGAGAACAGUUUGGAUGACAAGAUGUUCUGCAGCCACACGGCUCUACAUACAAGGAUCUAUUUUGGCAAUUUGGGCUUGAUUCACCUUCUCAGGCAUGAGGGAUAAAUCUUACUGACACAGGAGGAGGAGUUCCACUGCUGCAAUAGUACUCACACUUAAAGGAGGACAGGAAUCAAAUGAUGCUGAUUGAAAGAUAAGUUGUUCCAUCUCUCACUUCCUUUGCAAAAAUUGAUCUGCAAACAGAAUGCUGAGGGACUUUGAAUUAAAUAGCAGUAUUAGAGCUUACUUUGGAAAGUUAACAUGAACUGGACUCUUUUAAGGGGAAUAUUCUCUUUAAAAGGGAAAACCAGACAGAAUGUGGUCAGUUUGGCUUCCCCCCCGGGGUCAAUUUUCUGCCAUCACUGCCUACUUCUGUGUACCAGGCCUGCCUCUGUAUACUUGCACAUUUCCAGUGGAAAAUUUUUGUUUACUUGAAAACAGCAAAAUAAAUCAAUUCUUCUUUUCUA